rnacentral:rRNA from 1 species
UACGGAGGGUGCGAGCGUUGUCCGGAAUCACUGGGCGUAAAGCGCGCGUAGGUGGCCCUGUAAGUCCGUUGUGAAAGUCAAAGGCUCAACCUUUGAAAGCCGAUGGAUACUGCAGGGCUAGAGUACGGAAGAGGCGAGUGGAAUUCCUGGUGUAGCGGUGGAAUGCGCAGAUAUCAGGAGGAACACCAAUAGCGAAGGCAGCUCGCUGGGACGUUACUGACACUGAGGCGCGAAAGCGUGGGGAGCGAACAGG